rnacentral:rRNA from 1 species
GGGCAGUCUGGUGCCAGCAGCCGCGGUAAUUCCAGCUCCAAUAGCGUAUAUUAAAGUUGUUGUGGUUAAAAAGCUCGUAGUUGAACCUUGGGCCUGGCUGGCCGGUCCGCCUCACCGCGUGCACUGGUCCGGCCGGGCCUUUCCCUCUGUGGAACCCCAUACCCUUCACUGGGCGUGGCGGGGAAACAGGACAUUUACUUUGAAAAAAUUAGAGUGCUCCAGGCAGGCCUAUGCUCGAAUACAUUAGCAUGGAAUAAUAAAAUAGGACGCGCGGUUCUAUUUUGUUGGUUUAUAGGACCGCCGUAAUGAUUAAUAGGGACAGUCGGGGGCAUCAGUAUUCAAAUGUCAGAGGUGAAAUUCUUGGAUCAUUUGAAGACUAACUACUGCGAAAGCAUUUGCCAAGGAUGUUUUCAUUAAUCAGGAACGAAAGUUAGGGGAUCGAAGACGAUCAGAUACCGUCGUAGUCUUAACCAUAAACUAUGCCGACUAGGGAUCGGACGGUGUUAUCAAUGACCCGUUCGGCGCCUUACGGGAAAC